rnacentral:rRNA from 1 species
CACGUAGGGCGCAAGCGUUGUCCGGAAUUAUUGGGCGUAAAGAGCUCGUAGGCGGUCUGUUGCGUCCGCUGUGAAAACUCGGGGCUUAACCCCGAGCCUGCAGUGGAUACGGGCAGACUAGAGGUAGGUAGGGGAGAAUGGAAUUCCCGGUGUAGCGGUGAAAUGCGCAGAUAUCGGGAAGAACACCCGUGGCGAAGGCGGCUCUCUGGGACGGUACUGACGCUGAGACGCGAAAGCCAGGGGAGCGAACGGG